GACGAACGCUGGCGGCGUGCUUAACACAUGCAAGUCGAACGGAAAGGCCCUGCUUUUGUGGGGUGCUCGAGUGGCGAACGGGUGAGUAACACGUGAGUAACCUGCCCUUGACUUUGGGAUAACUUCAGGAAACUGGGGCUAAUACCGGAUAGGAGCUCCUGCUGCAUGGUGGGGGUUGGAAAGUUUCGGCGGUUGGGGAUGGACUCGCGGCUUAUCAGCUUGUUGGUGGGGUAGUGGCUUACCAAGGCUUUGACGGGUAGCCGGCCUGAGAGGGUGACCGGCCACAUUGGGACUGAGAUACGGCCCAGACGCCUACGGGAGGCAGCAGUGGGGAAUAUUGCACAAUGGGCGGAGGCCUGAUGCAGCAACGCCGCGUGCGGGAUGACGGCCUUCGGGUUGUAAACCGCUUUCGCCUGUGACGAAGCGUGAGUGACGGUAAUGGGUAAAGAAGCACCGGCUAACUACGU
rnacentral:rRNA from 1 species